UACGAAGGGGGCUAGCGUUGCUCGGAAUCACUGGGCGUAAAGGGUGCGUAGGCGGGUCUUUAAGUCAGGGGUGAAAUCCUGGAGCUCAACUCCAGAACUGCCUUUGAUACUGAGGAUCUUGAGUUCGGGAGAGGUGAGUGGAACUGCGAGUGUAGAGGUGAAUUCGUAGAUAUUCGCAAGAACACCAGUGGCGAAGGCGGCUCACUGGCCCGAUACUGACGCUGAGGUGCGAAAGCGUGGGGAGCAAACAGGGAUUA
rnacentral:rRNA from 1 species